AUUGAACGCUGGCGGCAUGCUUUACACAUGCAAGUCGAACGGUAGAGGGGGCAACCCCUUGAGAGUGGCGAACGGGUGAGUAAUGCAUCGGAACGUGCCCAGUCGUGGGGGAUAACGCAGCGAAAGCUGUGCUAAUACCGCAUACGAUCUCUGGAUGAAAGCGGGGGACCGAAAGGCCUCGCGUGAUUGGAGCGGCCGAUGUCCGAUUAGGUAGUUGGUGGGGUAAAGGCUCACCAAGCCAACGAUCUGUAGCUGGUCUGAGAGGACGACCAGCCACACUGGGACUGAGACACGGCCCAGACUCCUACGGGAGGCAGCAGUGGGGAAUUUUGGACAAUGGGCGCAAGCCUGAUCCAGCAAUGCCGCGUGCAGGAAGAAGGCCUUCGGGUUGUAAACUGCUUUUGUACGGAACGAAAAGGUCUGGGUUAAUACCCUGGGCACAUGACGGUACCGUAAGAAUAAGCACCGGCUAACUACGUGCCAGCCGCCGCGGUAA
rnacentral:rRNA from 1 species